AGACGGGGCACAGGCCCCGAGGGGCCCGGAGCCCACCUCCAAGGCAGGACCACGGGAGCCAUUCUGACAGGUGCUGGCGCGUCCUGGGCCCCGGCUGGGAAAUACUCCACCCCAGGCCCCGGCUUCUUUCCAGGCCCCCGAAACUUCAGCCCUGGUGCUGUGCUACCCAGCCCGCACCCACCCGCCCCCCCCCCCCCGUCCCUCCUCUCUCCGGGAGCCUCAGAGACGCCCCGGGACAGGCCACCCGUCUCCUUCCUGGGUCCCGCUCGCACCCACAGGCCCAAAGCCUCAUACACAUGCAAAUGCUGUCAUCGUCCUUCCGUUCGCAGGCUGUCUCCAGGGGAAGAGCCAGCAGCUCAGGGAGGCAAGGUGAUUUGUCCAGGGUCACCCAGCUUGGAUGUGACAGAGCUCGGCCUCGGCCUCCCGACUUCUGAAACCGGGCUCUCUCCUUUCCCCCUUUCCCCUUCCCUGACAUGCCCUAUGAGGCAAAGCCAGCUCAUUCGCACUGGAAGGCCCGGGGACCUCCCGGCACGGUCGAAGUGUUGGAAAAAAAAAAAAUAAUGAAAGUAGCAAGUGCUUAUGGGAAAAUGGCAGAUUAAAGAGGGUCGAUGAUAAUAGCA